rnacentral:rRNA from 1 species
AUGACUGUUGUGGAUCGUCGCGGCACUGACGCCGCGCGAGCCGACACAUCCAAGGUCAAAGCUCUUCGGGAUUUUCGCCGCGCUCGGGGAUUAUGCUUCAAGUACGGCGAGCGCUGGGAACAUGAGCACGUCUGCCCAAGCACCAUCCAGCUGCAUGUUGUCGAAGAGAUGCUCGCUCUUUUGGGGGCUGAUUCCAUCAGUGACAGCGAGGGGGACAUCCAGCAAGUCCAUGCCAUCUCGCGGCCAGCUCUUGAUGGUGGCGUCUCACCCAAAGCUUUCCAGCUACUAGCCACCAUGCAGAAUAGAGAGGUGUUGAUCUUGGUGGACAGCGGCAGCUCGACUUCUUUCAUCAACAAGAAACUAGCUGAUCAGCUUAUAGGUGCAGUUCCUCUGCUUCGGCCCUCACGAGUUAAGGUAGCUGACGGGGGCGAACUUCUCUGUACAGAGUCCAUACCAUGCUGUCAGUGGUCGUCGCAAGGGCUUGAUUUUGUCACUGAUAUGAAGAUCCUGCCGCUGGGUGUAUACGAUGCUAUCCUUGGCAUGGAUUGGUUGGAGCAGCACGGUCCGAUGACCGUUGACUGGAAGCACAAACAUCUCCAGAUUCCUACACCAAGAGGCCCGGCUCACUUGUUUGGCCACGAAUCAAAUUCCACCACCUGCCAUGUGAUCAACAGUGCGCAGUUGCAGUAG